CCUGCUGCCGAGGGACCCUCUGGAGAGAGAGCGUGGGUUUGGUGUUGGAUGAUGGGGGAGCGGGGGGGUUCGACUUCUCCAAACUCUCCCAGAGUUUCGUUCUUCAGCGCUUGAAGGUGUGUAGUUGCACUUUUCAUUCUCCUCCUAGUUUCGCUGGAGUUAAACUUGAGUCGCCAGGAACGUGCUGGUUAAACUGCAGUUGAUAAGAAACAGCCAAAGUUUUACUGUGUCUUCUCAUAUGAUUUACCUAAUGAAUCAAUAUCAUUUCUGUGAGAGAGGAAGUUCUACCUGCAGUUUAUGUUACGUUUUUUUUCACACACAGUGUAAAUGAUCUGCAAUUCGGGAUUUUCAGAAAUUUCAGGUUGGCUAUCAAGAAAUGAAGGUUAUGAUGUCCUGUGUUGGACUGCGAAAUCUUCUCCAAGGGCUAAGCUUCCGUGUCAAGUACUACUCUAGCAUUAACCAUCUUCAAACAACAUGUCUUUGUAGUAAAAUUAAAGCAAAAAAAUGCCACAUCCUGAACUGUUCAGAAUGUACAUGCACACACAGGACCGCACCAUCUGGAAGCAUCCUGCCGUGGAGAUUCCUUUCCUGCAAGGAAGGAACAAGAAUCUCCUCCAAAAGGAAGCAAAAUACAUCCGUAGUAACAUCAGAGCUUUUGCACAAGAAUCUUCUGAAAUCAGAGCAGGAAAACUGGAAUGACAUUUCACCAAUAUACAAACCCAUGACAAAGAGAAUCAAAGAAAAACUAGAAGAAUUUCACAACAAGUACACAUUCAAUUCAGAAAGCCCAAGGAUGAGGUUUGGAGAGAAUGUGUACUUUGAAGAGAACGGCUGCAUAUUUCUUUCAAAAGCAGAUGAUGAUGAAGGAAAUGUUGACAUUUUAUUCAGCACUGACGAUCUUGGCUUUUCUGAUGCCUUUAUUCAACGAAUCAGAAUUUCACCAGAUCAGAUGUACAUGGCCAUCAGCUUAAAAAGUGAAAGUUCUGAAGAAGCAACCUGCGUUAUUAUGAAACUUGGUCAUUUUCCUGUUGUGAAAAAAGUAAUUCCAAGUGUAUUUAGCUUUGAAUGGGCUGCAAAUGAUGUUCUGUAUUACACAACUCAGAAGAACCUUAAAUGCCAGAAUGUGUUUAUGACCACUUUCACUUAUCAGAAACAUACUAAGUUAGUUUAUACAGAACAAGAUGCAAGAUUCUUUGUAGACAUUUAUCUCACGAAAGACAGGCGUUUUCUCACUAUCAACAGCAACAGCAAGACAACCUCAGAAGUUUGGCUGGUUGACUGCAGGAAUCCUUUUGCAUUACCUGCACUUGUACAAGCACGAACAAAAGGGGUCAUUUACCACAUCGAGCAUAGAAAUGAUGAGUUAUAUAUUCUUACUACAUAUGGAGAACCUGCAGAAUAUAAGCUGAUGAAGGCACCAGUAGCUUCCAGCGGCAAGGAGAACUGGCAGUUAGUUUAUGCACUGGAAAAGAAAACAAAGCUAGUAGACUUUGAGAUGUUCAGUGAUGACUGUAUUAUGUUCCUGAAGAACGCUGGUCAUCUUUACCUAAAUGUGAUUUCUUUUGUUUCACACUCAGUUCAGUCAAUAAAGCUACCUACGUGGGCCUGUGAAUUUGAAUUGGAAUCUCAUCCUGAACAUACCACCAGCACUUGCUAUUUUCAGCUGUCCUCCCCAGUACACCCCCCUAAACGUUUUGCAUAUUCAUUUAAAGAAAAUAAUCUCAUUGAACAAGCUGUGCAAGAGGUACCAAUUAUUACGAAUUGUCACACUACACGUUUACUAGCUAAAAGCAAGGAUGAAACUUUGGUGCCAAUUACAGUUUUUCAUAAUAUGAAUUCUGAAGAGCUACACAGGAAGCCACUUCUAGUUCAUGUAUACGGAGCUUAUGGCAUAGAUUUGAACAUGAGCUUUAAAGAAGAGAAGCUGAUGUUAAUUGAAGAGGGUUGGAUAUUAGCAUAUUGCCAUGUUAGGGGUGGAGGAGAGCUAGGCCUUAGCUGGCACAAAGAUGGAUGUCAGCAUAAUAAACUCAAAGGUCUCCAUGACCUUAAGGCUUGCAUCAUGCUGCUGCACGAACUGGGGUUUUCUCAGCCAAAACACACAGCACUGGCAGCUGCCAGUGCUGGAGGAGUUCUUGCAGGAGCCCUGUGCAACACUGAUCCAGAACUGAUCAGAGCCAUGGUUUUACAGGCUCCUUUUGUAGAUGUUCUAAAUACAAUGAUGAAAACUCAUCUCCCACUGACAAUUGAGGAACAAGAAGAAUGGGGAAAUCCAUUAGAAGAUGAAAAAUGUAUGAAGUAUAUCAAAAGCUAUUGUCCAUACCAGAAUAUUAAGCCACAGUUUUUAUCACGGCAUAUGAAAAUGAUAAACGGAUACCACUAACAGGAGUCUUACGAUAUGUUCAGAAACUUAGGAAGGCUGCACUAGAUCAUGCCAGCAGAACAAGUAAGAAAGGAAAUUGGAUUCCUAAUAUCAUCUUAGAUGUCCAGGCAAAUGGCAGCCAUUGUGAUUCAUCCUGGGAGCACUCAGUGAGUG